UGGCGGCCGUAGCGCGGUGGUCCCACCUGACCCCAUGCCGAACUCAGAAGUGAAACGCCGUAGCGCCGAUGGUAGUG
rnacentral:rRNA from 3 species